rnacentral:lncRNA from 1 species
UCUGAUUUUGAUUGAUUAAAACAGGACUCCCAGUUUGAUUGGGUUUGAUCCUGUCAAACCUAGUCUUACACAAACUCUAGCCUUAUCACCCUUGGACGCAUGCUAUUUAAAUAGAGGGGUUUUGGGAUGUGGAGAAACAUCUGAAAACCUUCUUUUGGGCGUGGGUUCUCUUUGAGGGCAUGAAAAAAUUCUAGGGAGAGAGAGAAAGGUUCUCUCUUCUCCAAGUCUUCUUCCUCCUACACAUUGUCUUCUUCUUUCUUAAGAUUGUCUUGGAGAUUGAAGGAGAUCUUGUUCAACCAUCAAGGAAAUAUUCUCUGCAAGAAAGCUAGCACCUCGGGAAGAACAUAGAGCCUCUGAUCAGAUCAGGCCACUGUGGAUACCCGUAGAGGCCGGACAUAUGCACGGCUACAUCAGAAUCUGAAGACAUCUACAGAUCCGGAUUCAAGUUUUGCGAUUCAGAUAUGUGAUUCGAUCAUAAAUAAAUUUUUAAUCUCUAAAAUCAGAUAUUUUAUAUCUUAUUUAUUAUCAUAUGAACUAGAUCAAUAGGUAUAAAAUUUUGAUCUAUACAUGCGUAGGAUUAAAACUGUUUUAAUCUUGACUUCCGCUGCUUAAAUUCAAAAUUGUUUUGAAAUCUAUCUGCAAAAUACCUAAAAUCCAUCAGUAGUAUCAGAGCCACGAAUUCAUAUGCAUGAGAAUAAGAUGAUAUCUAAUUUCUAAAUCAGAUCUGAAAUUAAUCUGAUAUAGAUCAGACAUCGGUAUGAAACAAGGUUGUCCUGGCAUACGGAUUACCCCUUAUGUUGAAAU